GCAUUUCGUCGGUGCAGCUCUUCAUUAUCUCUGGAUUACAGUAAAUGGCUAUUUAUUCAUGUCCUUCCUCAAUCUCUUCCCUAUACCGCUGUCAGAUGUACUUUUAAAAUCUAAAAGAAAAGAAUAAUCCUUAAACCGGGUGAAACCUAACAAAGGACUUUGGACUUGAUCCACAAGACUGGUUAAAAUUUUUUCAAUAAAAAUAAUAAUGAAUCAAUGAAGGCUUACCAAGAACUGAAGUAGGCUCAAAAGAGGGUUAAGGGCCCGGCUGGAAAAAGAAAGGGAAAGUUUGGGGGCGGCAUCUAAGGAGGGUGGUGGAAGUUCCAAAGCCCGGAUCCCAGAGAGGGGCGAGAGGGGGGACAGCGGCG